CAGUUGGUUAGAGCGCGCGCUUGAUAAGCGUGAGGUCGGAAGUUCAAGUCUUCCCAGGCCCACCAUUUUGAUCGAGUGCGGAGCAUUCGUCUUCUGGUACGGGGCCAUAGCUCAGCUGGGAGAGCGCGUGCUUUGCAAGCAUGAGGUCGUCGGUUCGAUCCCGUCUGGCUCCACCAGAUGGAAUUGAAGCUCGAGAAUGCCUCGUCAAAUUCGUCCGCGAAACAUCACUUCGCACUCAUUGGUCCGGAUGGACGGUGACGUGCGUGUUUUCUGACAUCGUAAAGAGGAGAUCGAUCCGAGUUUGGAUCUGCGAAGCAAUUCGCGGGUACCAUUCCUAAUCUCCAGAUCGUUUUCGGCGCUCGUUCAUCGUUACUCAUCGCAAGAUGAGUGAGAUGAUCGAGUUGUAAAACGAUCUUUGUAGCGAAGCUUGACCGCCUCGCUAUCGGGCCGAUCUUACGAAGCAAGCUGGUCUUUCUAGUCAAUGUCCGGCUGUGCAAUCGCAUUCAUCGAGGAUGCGCGCCUGGGACUUCGGUCUUUGGGCAAUUACACAGACAACAUUCUGCCGAGUGUGUGGACAUUGAUAAUGAGAGCAAUCAAGUGCCUUAAGGGUGUUCGGUGGAUGCCUUGGCGCUGAGAGGCGAUGAAGGACGUGCUACGCUGCGAUAAGCCGUGGGGAGCUGCGAAGAAGCUUUGAUCCACGGAUUUCCGAAU
rnacentral:misc_RNA from 2 species